AUGCGGAUUUUGAGUUUGACAUGCAGCUCCUCCGCUUGUGAGAGGAAUUUUAGUGUUUUUCAGCAGAUUCACACAAAGAAACGCAACAGGCUGCUUCAUAAUAAAAUGAGAGACCUUGUUUUUAUCAAGUUCAACUCCAAACUCAAACAAAAGAGAAAGAUGAAAAACAGGGACCCGAUUGUGGACCACACAUUUGUAGAUGUUGUAGAAGAUGAAGAUAAUGAGUGGAUCACAGGUAUUGUGCCUCAUGAACCUGAUGAAGUUGUAGAAGUUGCAGCAUCAACAUCACAAGGAGCAGUUGGUGCAUCAAAAAGAAAGAGAGCGUCCCAAUCUCGCCCUCGGAAGAAGAAAAAACUGCUCCCUGUUUUUCGUGAAGAUGAGUUGGAGUCAGCUAGUUCUUCUUCUGAAUCGGAAGAUGAUGCCAUGCAUUCACCAUCUGGUUCAUCAAAUGAGAGUGAUUCUGAAUAA
rnacentral:rRNA from 1 species